rnacentral:sRNA from 1 species
GGAUCAUCUUCCGGGAGCGUGGCUAGGGGCGGAGCGACUGCCGCGCGAUAGUCAGGGAGCUGUGCGGGUCCUGGUUGCAAGAGAGGAAGGAUUAAAGGAAUGGAAGGCAUCAUAAACAUGAAGAAAAAUGUGAGAGAGUAUGAUAAUUGAAAGAAGAGUUUGUGUUCAAAGGGAGAGAUUAAAGAUGUGCAACUUCAGACCUUGGCCAAAGUGAAACAUUUCACCAAGAUUCAGGCUGUGAGAAACAUCUUGCCUACCCACCUGACCACAAGGCAGACAAAGGCCCAACGGAAGAAACAUUCUUAUCAUACCCUACCCGGCAAAGGCUCAACUAAAGAAACAUCCCUAUCAUAUUCUGUUGGGAGAAAGUACAAAGAAACACCACGUUCUGGAGGAAUAAGAGCCAGAACUGCCUCAUCAUGGGAACAUCUUAUGAAUAUCCUGCCGGGCAGCCAGCUAUAUGGCCCAGAUCUCUGCCGCUCAGACCCAUUAAGUACCCCAGCCUGUAAGCGGCGGUGAGCUCUGUCUGGCCAUAAGUUAGUUGGCCCCCAACUUCCGCAGGUGUCUGCAAUAUACCUGUGUUGCUGUUUGAGCUGCCCCCUCUCUGUGUCUUUCUUUAACCCUCGUCUUCCCUUCAAAACCUAACAGUAAGCACUCAAUUCUUACUUGUUGAAUAAAUGAAUGAUAGACAAUG